rnacentral:rRNA from 1 species
UACAGAGGGUGCAAGCGUUGUUCGGAAUUAUUGGGCGUAAAGGGUGCGUAGGUGGCGCCAUAAGUCAGGUGUGAAAUCUCGGGGCUCAACCUCGAAACUGCACUUGAUACUGUGGUGCUGGAGUACUGGAGAGGAGAUUGGAAUUUACGGUGUAGCAGUGAAAUGCGUAGAUAUCGUAAGGAAGACCAGUGGCGAAGGCGAAUCUCUGGACAGUUACUGACACUGAGGCACGAAGGCCAGGGGAGCAAACGGG